rnacentral:rRNA from 2 species
UGGUGGGUAGUUUGACUGGGGCGGUCUCCUCCCAAAGAGUAACGGAGGAGCACGAAGGUUGGCUAAUCCUGGUCGGACAUCAGGAGGUUAGUGCAAUGGCAUAAGCCAGCUUGACUGCGAGCGUGACGGCGCGAGCAGGUGCGAAAGCAGGUCAUAGUGAUCCGGUGGUUCUGAAUGGAAGGGCCAUCGCUCAACGGAUAAAAGGUACUCCGGGGAUAACAGGCUGAUACCGCCCAAGAGUUCAUAUCGACGGCGGUGUUUGGCACCUCGAUGUCGGCUCAUCACAUCCUGGGGCUGAAGUAGGUCCCAAGGGUAUGGCUGUUCGCCAUUUAAAGUGGUACGCGAGCUGGGUUUAGAACGUCGUGAGACAGUUCGGUCCCUAUCUGCCGUGGGCGCUGGAGAAUUGAGGGGGGCUGCUCCUAGUACGAGAGGACCGGAGUGGACGCAUCAC